CCUUCAGCUGCAGACACCAGCUGGCUGUCUUCUAAUUCAAUUCAACUCUGAGAUGAUCUACCUGGAGGUUGGCGCAAUACUUUCAGCAUGUGAACACCACAUGGGAAAGAAGCUGGCAUUGAACUUAGGUUUCCAGAGCAUCUAUUAUGGUCUGCACCCUCCUGGGAAACGGGUAUAUGUUAUCUAUGGCAGGCAGUUUUGCAAACAAGGCUCUGAACUUGAAGCUCAGAGGGUGAGCGAGGCCUCGUGCCCCCAGGGCCUCUGCUUGCUCCAUGUUGGUGCCCCAACGUCCAGGGAUGCAAAGCACAGAGGACCCUUAGAGGCCACACCUGGAAGUGCUCAUUCAAUGGACCGAGGGAUGAAAGUGAGGAGAGCGUUAGGGGAGCUGUGCACAGUAAGUAGGGGCUGGAAUGGGAUGUGACCCAGGACAUCCUGGUUAGAUUUGGCCAGGAGAGCUGUGAAAAUAGGGGAAGCUGGUCCCCAAACCCCACACCCUUUUAAAAAAUCAAUCCUGGUGGGCGCAGUGGCAGAAGGACCUGAGUUUGUUACAAAGACCUCAGCAAUCCUCUCCCUCUCCUGACCUGUAAACACCAAGAGCCGGAGACAAUGCAAGUGUCAGACGCUUCUCCACCCGCAAUGAGGCCUGGGAAGCCCAAGUUGAUUGGCUUUCUUUCCAGGAAGGCAGAGCCCAGACGCACUUCAAGGUGGGUAUUUCUGUUUGUUUUCUCCUCAAGGAAAGCACAGCUGAAGGGCUCACGUAUUCCACACCCUCUUUUCAAGGCUCAUUAAUAAGGAGCCCAGGGCAAAAUCAUACAUGUGGCAAACUCCACAACCACCAAGGCCGGCAGAGCAGUGAGAGCUGCAUUAAUGGGGAAUUUCAGUGAAAUGCCGCCCAGCUCCUAAAUUCAUACCAGAUGAGUUCCAGAAGAUUAAAGUUAUUACAAUAAAGCCCCAGGGAAUCAAUCACGCUCUGCCUUGUAACCUUCUUGGUUUUCUGCAUCAUUCACACAAACCACUUUCUGCAGGGCACUGGGGUGUUCCCUAGCUGGGCUGGACCCACAGGCCCCAAUAAAGCACUUCAGGUUAGAAAGCCUAGCAAAAGGACAGGCUUGGUUCAGGUAAGUGGCUGGGGUCUGGCAAGUGGCUUGUUUAGUGACCAGUGACAAUGCGGUGUGGGAGCCCAGUGGGGAAGGGUGGGCUCCCUAACCCCCAGCCUGCCUGAGGCAUGCCCCUGGGGGUGGUCACUGUUGGAACCUUGAUAAAAAAACAGCCUGAAAGUUGGAAAGUGUCUUGGUAAAGAGUAGAACACGGCACAGUUCUCUUUGAUACUGUUUUUAUGUUUUCAUUUUUUAUCCUUUUUUUUUCCCAAAGUGCCUCCCAGCCAUCCAGGUUCAAUCUCAAGUCCUUGUAUGCUCAACCAGGCUCCUGGUGAGCCAGUGAUCCUGCGCCAUUCUCCCCCAGAACCCCUGGUGGCCACCUGCACUGUCCCUGAACUCCUGUCCCCGAGUGUGAACACAGUCCUCAUUCUGCAUUACACCCCUGGGAGCAGGCAUCAGCUCUCUCUGCCUCCACUUCUAUGAGAGUUCCAGAUGAUAGAGGUGCAGAAUAAUUCACUAAAGAGUCUGCAACCUCUAAGGCCCAGACCUGCCCUGUGGUCUCUGCCCCAGCCAUCUGCUAUCUCCCUCCCAAAUCCAAGCUCUACAAAAGUUCCAAGUUUGUCCACGUUUUGGUGUUCAAGCCCCCAAACUCUCUGCCCCAUCCUGAAUGCUCCUUCCUGCUUCGCAAUAUUGAGUAGGACCAUCCAUUCCCUUCAGAGAAGUCCCACACUCAGCUUCAGAAAUGUAGCUUGGUCCAGUGACCAAGCAAGAUAUUCACAAAGCUGACUGACACAGGUGCAUUUCACACUUCUUAUUUCUUUAUUCUUAUUUAUGAUAAUAUUUAACUUAGGAUCAAUGCUCAGCGUUUGUGAGAGCUAUCUGGAGUUUCCUUUUUCUGUGCAACUUUUUUUGGUUUUGAUGUCAGAAUUCUAUUAGCUUUCCAAAGAAGAAUCUACAGACUCUCCCCUCCCCCAACAUUCUUGCUCUUGGUCAGUUUAAACAGAAUUCAGCAUUUGAAAAACCCCAUCCUGAAAACACUGAAGCCAGUGCUUUUGAGGGCUGUAGUUCUUUUACAACUGUUUGAUUUGCCAUUUAGGCAUUCCUAUCUCUUCUUGAGUCCAUUUCGAUCAUUUGCAUGUUCCUAGAAAACGGCUUUUCAUUCAGGUUUUCAGAGUCAUUGAUAUGUUUAAGUAAUUCUGUUUUCUUCUUUUUCGUACUCUGGUUAUUUGUACUUUCUCAUACUCUGUUUCUUUGCCCCCUGCCUCCUUCCCUCCCCCUUUCUCUCUCCUUGCUUUCUUUUUCUUUUACUUGUUUUUGUUUUCCUUGACUGGGCGAAUUAAUAUUUUGUUGCACUCCAUUUUGUUUCAUUCUAUUCCAUUCUCCUCCGCCACCAAAGACAUACCUUUCAUGUCAUGGUCAAUUGUAUGAGGCUUUUCUGUUGUCACUGUGAUUCUAUUUUUAAUAUUCUUUUUAGUGACCUUAAUCAAAAGAAUUAUUAUGUAAAAUACCUAGUUCAUUUGUUUUUAUUGGUUCAUAUUUUUACUGAAAAUAUUAAUGGCUAUAUAUUUUUCUAUGAACACAGCUUUAAUAGUAUUCCAAAGAUUAUGAAAAGGAAUAUUGAUUUUAAGGAAAUUCCAUGAGGGACUUUCAGUUUUUCUCUCACUGAAGUAUUGUUUAGGGAAGAGCUUUUAAAAGUUCAGAAUUGUUCUGUGUUAUUAUUGCAAUUAGUAAAUUUUGUUUUGCAUUUUUAGUUUUCCUUUAUUGAUGUUAAAGAAGGUGGUUUUUGUUAUUUUUCUUUUUCUUUUGAGUUUGAGGUUUUCUUUGUGAACAAUAGAAAAGGAUACACAUUUUCUGUACACAAGGCAUGGGGACAUAUAUAAAAUGUCAUACAUGUUUAUAUGAAUAUAUGUGUGUGUUAUAUAUAUGAUCAAUCUAUUAAUGGAAUUAUUUGGAUUCUCUGUUUCACUCUUCCUUAAUUUCUUGACAUACAGGAUUGAGUGAGAGAGCUACACUGAAGUCUUCCAAUGAUUUUGUGCUUUGUCAAAUUUAUCCUUUUAUUUGUUCCAGUUUUUGCUACAUUUAUUAAUGCUAUGAUGCUAUAUAGUAAAUAAAGGUUCUUGACAGCUAUAUC